rnacentral:lncRNA from 1 species
UGCAGCGGGACGGGGCCGCGCCGUCGGGGGGAUGCUGCUGGGCGGGAGGACGGCACCCGGGGAUUUUGGGGCAAGGGGGAGCGGAGCAGAGCGAGUCCGCGCGGUGCCCCCGGGCCCUCGAAGCGCACCCACACGCCCUUGAGCUGCUCCUGCCCGGCCGUGCGCCCACCUCCAGCACCGUCCGGCCCCGCUGGAAUCGGUUCUCAACGACUUUGGCGACAGAGAAAUGUUUUCCCACAUCGCUCUUAGCGGAAAAAAAAUAAAUGAAGACAAUAGAUAACCCCGCCUCGGUACGCAGCGCCUCGCCGGAGAUGGUCUUCGCCUGGCUCAAGGAGCAGAGGGCUCGUCCUUCCCUGCCGGUGCGAUGCAACCCGCUCGCUGAAGCGCUGCCAGGAUGCCCUGAUGCUUCAGGAAAGAGUCGACGGCACACACGCAGAGGAAAAAAACGGCUGCAAAACCUCUCUCAGGGGCACUCACCCUAUAUAUAAUAUAUAAAAAAGGUCUCCCGGGUGGGAUUGCCUCCCACGGGGAGAAGGCGACGCUCCAGCUUUUCCUCCAGGACUCGUCCCUAUUUUACCUCCCGACGUGCUUACAGAAAUACAGAGCCUCCUGCCGGGUCUCGCAGGGGCGCGGGUGGAAGAUGGCCAUGGCACAAACGGGGAUUCCUCCUGCAAGGGGGUUUCACCCCCCUCCGACCCUGCUGCUGGCGGGGAAGAUGUGGUUCGUGGCUUUCACCUCGGCCGUGCCUCUCCCUGGCUGCGCACCAAACGAAUGUAAAGGUGCCCUGGGCAGCUCGCUGGUUUUGCAGGAAAAUCUCAAGUCGUCUGCUUUUGAACGGGUUUCGACCCAAUUUCUUAACUAAUAACAGCCUAUUUCCAGGCAGAUGUAACCGCAGCUGUAACUGCGUGCCUCUGAGACAAGCCCCAGGCAGGAUUCGUCCAUAUGUGCCCGGGGGACCUCGCGUAAGCCUCUCCUGCAGCACUCAGCCCCCAAAUCGCUUUGUAAAUUACGUCAGGAGCCUGCUGAGGUGUCGAGAGUGAGAUGUUUAUGGACUGCAGGGACAGAAGGAUAUGCCACCUACAAUUUGGUGGGGAAAAAAAAUAAUGCUUUUUGGAACCCAACCGAAUAUUAAGCCCGGAGAAUGUGCAAAUAUAACGCUGACAGCGAAGGGUUUAAUUUUACCGACUUGACAAACUCUUAGCAAAUUAGCUCAGCGGGUUUUAAUAGCUGGCAGGCAAUCCCCUUCUUCUCCCAUAGUCCUUUUAUGGGGAAAAACCCGUGUCCUUUAGGGCUGGGAGGCUGCGAUGCGAGCAUUCCUGUAGCCUCUUGCAGCCGAACGGGAAUAAAUGCUCGGGGCUUGGGUCGUGUGCGCGGGGU